rnacentral:sRNA from 1 species
CCCGGAGCCGCCACGGGUGAGUCGGGUCGUGGCUGCUGCCGGGUCCUGCGCGCUCUGGACUGAGGUGGCGUCCCUGGGCCGGACGGCGGUGUCCUGGCGUGGCGGGAAGCCGGCACUGGAGCGGGAGCGCACUGGGCGCGGGACCGGGAGGCGCAGGGACCGGACGGCUCCCGAGUCGCCCACCUGACAGUACCGAGAGGGCGGCGCCCCUCCGAGCAGAGCCGUCCCGGCCACUCCCCUGGGAUCUGACUUGGCUCUUGCGGUCGCGGGCACCGUGAAGCCCUGGGGUGUGCGUGGCUCCUCCUGGUAGACGCCCUUUCCCGGCGUCCGGCUUGGGGUGGUGGUGGCGUUGACUCCAGCCCCGCCUCUCCCUGGAGAGGAGGGCUCCACUCGCUCCUUCGGCCUCCUCCCCUGGGGCCGCAGCGACUCGGGCCGGCUUCCUGCUUCCCUGCCUGCCGGCGGUCCCGCUGGGUACGUUUGAGCCAAUCCUCCCCAUCUGCGCUCCUGCCCGGGGCUCCCCCAGUUCCCCUGGUGUCACCCUGUUCUGACUCCGGCUCUGCAUCCUAUCUGUUUCUCUGUUUCUUUCAAGCUAGAAGAGGUCUUCAGUUCCCAGGAGAGCCAAAGCGUGUCUGGCCCUAGGUGGGAAAAGAACUGGCUGUGACCUUUGCCCUGACCUGGAAGGGCCCAGCCUUGGGCUGAAUGGCAGCACCCACGCCCGCCCGUCCGGUGCUGACCCACCUGCUGGUGGCUCUCUUCGGCAUGGGCUCCUGGGCUGCGGUCAAUGGGAUCUGGGUGGAGCUACCUGUGGUGGUCAAAGAGCUUCCAGAGGGUUGGAGCCUCCCCUCUUACGUCUCUGUGCUUGUGGCUCUGGGGAACCUGGGUCUGCUGGUGGUGACCCUCUGGAGGAGGCUGGCCCCAGGAAAGGACGAGCAGGUCCCCAUCCGGGUGGUGCAGGUGCUGGGCAUGGUGGGCACAGCCCUGCUGGCCUCUCUGUGGCACCAUGUGGCCCCAGUGGCAGGACAGUUGCAUUCUGUGGCCUUCUUAGCACUGGCCUUUGUGCUGGCACUGGCAUGUUGUGCCUCGAAUGUCACUUUCCUGCCCUUCUU